rnacentral:rRNA from 1 species
UACGAAGGGUGCAAGCGUUACUCGGAAUUACUGGGCGUAAAGCGUGCGUAGGUGGUGAGUUAAGUCUGUCGUGAAAGCCCCGGGCUCAACCUGGGAAUGGCGAUGGAUACUGGCUCGCUAGAGUGCGGUAGAGGAGAGUGGAAUUCCACGUGUAGCAGUGAAAUGCGUAGAGAUGUGGAGGAACACCGAUGGCGAAGGCAGCCCCCUGGGCUGAGAUUGACGCUCAGGCACGAAAGCGUGGGGAGCAAACAGG